UAAAGAUAAAUAAAGUAUACGGUGGAUGCCUAGGGUCUUUGUGCCGAAGAAGGACGUGCAAGGCUGCGUUAAGCCUCGAUCAGACGCCAAGAGUCGUUAUCAGUCGGGGAUAUCCGAAUGGGGAAACCUAAUCCUAAGCAAUUUGAGAUUACCUAUCAUUAAAUAUUCUACCUUCGGGUAGAAAGAUAGAUGAUAUGGAGGGCACCCUGCGAAGUGAAACAACAUAGUAGCAGGAGGAAAAGAAACUACAAAAGUAUUUCCUUAGUAGCGGCGAGCGAAAGGGAAACAGCCCAAACCUAUAAGAGGUUUUCGUAUGUGUGCAUUUAUGUACUCAUGCGACUAUCUCAAUAUAUUAUGGGGGUUUGGACAAUCCACACUGGCUUUUAGGCCAGAAGAAGUUACAAAACGCUUACGUAGAAGAAGACGGCUGGAAAGCCUCACCAUAGAGAGUAAUAGUCUCGUAUUCGAAACGUAAUCGCCUUCUUGGGUUGCUCCAGAGUAGCAUGGGACACGUGAAAUCCUGUGUGAAGAUAGCAAGACCACUUGUUAAGGCUAAAUACGCAAAGACACCGAUAGUGAACUAGUACCGUAAGGGAAAGGUGAAAAGUCCCCCUGUUAGGGGAGUGAAAUAGUACCUGAAACCGUAUACUGACAAGCUGACAGAGCCCCUUUAUGGGGUGAUGUUGUGCCUAUUGAAGAAUGAGCCAGCGAGUUAAUGAUGUAUGCAAGCUUAAGCAGUUAUGCUGUGUAGGCGUAGGGAAACCGAGUCUUAAUAGGGCGAACAUUGUAGUAUAUAUCAUUAGACC
rnacentral:rRNA from 1 species